GACAGAGGAGGCAAGCGUUGUUCGGAAUCAUUGGGCUUAAAGGGCGUGUAGGCGGCGGCGCAAGUGUCGAGUGAAAUCCCAUCGCUCAACGAUGGAACGGCUCGGCAAACUGCGUCGCUUGAGGUCGGUAGAGGUGCUCGGAGCUCUAGGUGGAGCGGUGAAAUGCGUAGAUAUCUAGAGGAACGCCUGAGGCGAAAGCGGGGCACUGGGCCGAUACUGACGCUGAGACGCGAAAGCGUGGGGAGCAAACAGG
rnacentral:rRNA from 1 species